rnacentral:rRNA from 1 species
GUCGAGCGCGGGAAGCAAGUUGAUCCCUUCGGGGUGACGCUUGUGGAACGAGCGGCGGACGGGUGAGUAACACGUGGGCAACCUGCCUGUAAGAUUGGGAUAACUCGCGGAAACGUGAGCUAAUACCGAAUAAUACUUUUUGCCUCCUGGCAAGAAGAUGAAAGGCGGCUUUUAGCUGUCACUUACAGAUGGGCCCGCGGCGCAUUAUCUAGUUGGUGAGGUAACGGCUCACCAAGGCGACAAUGCGUAGCCGACCUGAGAGGGUGAUCGGCCACACUGGGACUGAGACACGGCCCAGACUCCUACGGGAGGCAGCAGUAGGGAAUCUUCCGCAAUGGACGAAAGUCUGACGGAGCAACGCCGCGUGAGUGAUGAAGGUUUUCGGAUCGUAAAACUCUGUUGUCAGGGAAGAACAAGUGCGAGAGUAACUGCUCGCACCUUGACGGUACCUGACCAGAAAGCCACGGCUAACUACGUGCCAGCAGCCGCGGUAAUACGUAGGUGGCAAGCGUUGUCCGGAAUUAUUGGGCGUAAAGCGCUCGCAGGCGGUCUUUUAAGUCUGAUGUGAAAGCCCACGGCUUAACCGUGGAGGGUCAUUGGAAACUGGAGGACUUGAGUACAGAAGAGGAGAGUGGAAUUCCACGUGUAGCGGUGAAAUGCGUAGAGAUGUGGAGGAACACCAGUGUCGAAGGCGACUCUCUGGUCUGUAACUGACGCUGAGGAGCGAAAGCGUGGGGAGCGAACAGGAUUAGAUACCCUGGUAGUCCACGCCGUAAACGAUGAGUGCUAUGUGUUAGGGGGUUUCCGCCCCCUUAGUGCUGAAGAUAACGCAUAAGCACUCCGCCCUGGGGGAGUACGGCCGCAAGGCUGAAACUCAAAAGAAUUG